CAUUACUUUAUAUGAUUUUGUCAUUACUCGAUUUGGUUUGGUUAAGACAAAGUCGCAUCAAGUAAAGAUAAAACAACAUAAUGUAAGA
rnacentral:sRNA from 1 species